rnacentral:lncRNA from 1 species
AUGGUAUUAAUCAAAGAAGAAGUACAUAUCAUUAACGUGAGCAAAAUCAAGACCUCGGGCCCCAGCUCUGUGGUGGGGCCUCGGCAAGCUGCAAGGGACACGGAAAGAAACAGGACGUGGGGAGAUGGUUGCACCUCUCUGUCCCCGUUUAUCCUCAUCCUUCUCUGCUUUGGACCACGGCCGGCGAGUUAGUCCACUGUGAGUACAUCACAAGCUCCCUUGCCACGGCUUCUGCUUGAGUUUGGUAAAUGGGAAGCAAGAGAUAGGAGGGUGGGGGUGGGGGGGUCAAUCCAAGUAUUUCUUCCCCCUUCCUUCCUUGCUCUGGAGUCACAUCUUUGGCAGGAAGUGGAUCCUCCCAUGGAAACAGUUCCUACUGGGUGAACUUCUUCCCCAGUGACACUGUUUUCCCCCUUGUCUCUUGCGUCCACGAGAUUCUAGCAUCUGCUGCUCAUCUCUGGGUUCCUGGCUUCAUUUGAUCCCAUGGCCCUGCCUACCCCUCUAAAAUCUCACUCUUGAUCAGGUCUCUUCUUUCUGUGGAGAUACUGCCCUGAUACAUUCAUAUCAUGUUCUUCCAUUUUUCUUUUCUUUUUUUUGUUUGUCUUUUGUCUUUUUAGGGCUGGACUCAUGGCAUAUGGAGAUUCCCAGGCCAGGGGUGGGAUGGGAGCUGUAGCUGCCGACCUGUGCCAGAGCUAUAGCAACGGGAGAUCUGAGCUGUGUCUGCAACCUACACCACAGCUCAUGGCAACUCUGGAUCCUUAACCCACUGAGUGAGGCCACAGAUUGAUCCCACAUCCUUAUGGAUGCUAGUCGGGUUUGUUAACUGAGCCAUGAUGGCAAUGCCCAUUUUUAUUUUCUAUUAAUUGGGAAUGAAGUUCUAAGAAAAGUUACUCAGUGUGUUUUUGUAUUUUCUACCUUUUCGGGAGAUUUAUUUAAAGCCUUAUAUGGUACAGGUACCAGUCAUUCAGAACAGAGGCUGACUUGUGUGUUGUUCCAGUACAUUCUGGGUAAUUAUUUGCCAUUUUUGGUACAAUGAAAUCUAAUUCCAGGAUAUUAGAAUUGAAAGGAAAGAAGUGAAAGAUAAGUGAUGAGAUCUAAAAUAAAAUGCAUUAGCUGAUUCUGCA